rnacentral:rRNA from 1 species
AGACCCGAAACCCGGUGAUCUAGCCAUGGGCAGGUUGAAGGUUGGGUAACACUAACUGGAGGACCGAACCGACUAAUGUUGAAAAAUUAGCGGAUGACCUGUGGCUGGGGGUGAAAGGCCAAUCAAACCGGGAGAUAGCUGGUUCUCCCCGAAAGCUAUUUAGGUAGCGCCUCGUGAAUUCAUCUCCGGGGGUAGAGCACUGUUUCGGCUAGGGGGCCAUCCCGGCUUACCAACCCGAUGCAAACUGCGAAUACCGGAGAAUGUUAUCACGGGAGACACACGGCGGGUGCUAACGUCCGUCGUGAAGAGGGAAACAACCCAGACCGCCAGCUAAGGUCCCAAAGUCAUGGUUAAGUGGGAAACGAUGUGGGAAGGCCCAGACAGCCAGGAUGUUGGCUUAGAAGCAGCCAUCAUUUAAAGAAAGCGUAAUAGCUCACUGGUCGAGUCGGCCUGCGCGGAAGAUGUAACGGGGCUAAACCAUGCACCGAAGCUGCGGCAGCGACACUCAGGUGUUGUUGGGUAGGGGAGCGUUCUGUAAGUCUGCGAAGGUGGCCUGUGAGGGUUGCUGGAGGUAUCAGAAGUGCGAAUGCUGACAUAAGUAACGAUAAAGCGGGUGAAAAGCCCGCUCGCCGGAAGACCAAGGGUUCCUGUCCAACGUUAAUCGGGGCAGGGUGAGUCGACCCCU